rnacentral:rRNA from 1 species
AACGAACGCUGGCGGCAGGCUUAACACAUGCAAGUCGAGCGGGGUGAUGGUGCUUGCACUAUCACUUAGCGGCGGACGGGUGAGUAAUGCUUAGGAAUCUGCCUAUUAGUGGGGGACAACAUCUCGAAAGGGAUGCUAAUACCGCAUACGUCCUACGGGAGAAAGCAGGGGAUCACUUGUGACCUUGCGCUAAUAGAUGAGCCUAAGUCGGAUUAGCUAGUUGGUGGGGUAAAGGCCUACCAAGGCGACGAUCUGUAGCGGGUCUGAGAGGAGGAUCCGCCACACUGGGGCUGAGACACGGCCCAGACUCCUACGGGAGGCAGCAGUGGGGAAUAUUGGACAAUGGGGGGAACCCUGAUCCAGCCAUGCCGCGUGUGUGAAGAAGGCCUUACGGUUGUAAAGCACUUUAAGCGAGGAGGAGGCUCUUUUGGUUAAUACCCAAGAUGAGUGGACGUUACUCGCAGAAUAAGCACCGGCUAACUCUGUGCCAGCCGCCGCCGUAA